AGGAGUCUACACUUAAGAUUGCUGAGCAGAAACUCUUGCAAGAUGACCUACCAAUGAGCAAGAAGAGAAAGAGGGUACUCAACAAACUCUUCCUUGACACACCAGAGGAAACUGUUGAACAAGUUGCAAAAAAGAAAAACUACAAAUUCAUUGCUGCAAGACAGUCUGAAUUUGAGGUUCUUUCCCAAGAAGAACAUAAAGUCACCCUAGUGGAGACUGCUUCAGAGGCACUUGAGGAUGAGAUCCGGGCCCUCAGGGAAGAGAAUAAAAGACUGCGGGACCAGCAGAGUGUAGAUCUUCCGCAGCCAUUAAAGAUCUUGAGAUUCAAGUCAAGGCCUUGAACAAGGAGAACACCAGACUGCGCAAAAUGGCACUUAAAGGCAACUAUUUCUCCAUUUAUACACUCUUUAUACACAUAUAAAACACCGUAAUUAUCCGUGAAAUCCAUGUCCGCCAUGUUCAGUUGAAACCAGCAAGCAGCAGAUGGAAGCUCCUCCUAUUUGAUGACGCAGCGAAGCAUUGCCGCUUGUUGCCAAAUGCCAACGUGGAGUUCACGCGGAAUGUCAAGCAGGCAAAAGCACACAAUUGAGGCGAAAUAUUCGCAGAAUCCGCAUUUGGUGUGAACUUAAAGACACCAAAAAAUUAGUGGAGGUGUAUUUUGUUCUCCAGGUCUUAAGCAUUUACAACUUGUUUGGAUUCCUGUUGUAGUCAAUUCUGUGGGCCAUAUUUUCCAGACAUUCCAUCACUAUUAGUGGCUGUGAAGACCCUCGUUUCGGAUAAGAUCACAGAGAAGGUGAAAGUGAAUAUGAGGUCAGUGUUGCUCAACCAUCACCUGCUCAACUCGCAUCUCCCAAACCAGCAUCAGUGCAACUAGGGAAUGAUGACUCCACCAGAGUGUCUGCCCAUUGUUGGGAGACUGCAAAAGCACAACCCACAGCGAAAGGAAUGGCCCGCACCCUCUUGCUGGGCCUGUUCAGCAUUGAUGUCCUGCUUGAAGUCCAACCUGACGGGAGGGGUCAACAAGGUCUGCAGAGCGACGUCAGCCUCUGGACCCCAAAAAGCUUAAAAGCUUUACUCGAGGCAGUUGUUCAGCAACACCCAGGGGCGAAGAUUCCGGAUAUACGAACGGCCAUAAACAAAAGGAUCUGUGAGUUAAGACACCAGGAGAAGAAAAAGACCAUGGACAGCUGAAGGACUGGCCAAGGCUGCACAGCGAGCCUUGAUAACUUAACAUGUUAGAACCAAAACAACGUGCAUUGUUGUUCUGUUCUUUCCAGUGAGUGAUUGCUCUGUUUUCUGUUGCACUAAAGACAUUUUUUUUAUUACAAUGACAGUUGUCAUUGUAAUGGGGAGGGGGAGGGGGUUUGCAGCAGACUUCCUAUAACGCCACUAUCUGAAUAAGAGCACCCCCUCCCCAACAAGCUGACCUCUUCCACCGGUGAUCAUCGGGAUAGGAGGGGAACAGCGCGCUAAUGUCUCUUUGCUGGCAAAAAGACAUAACUCUUCAACUGGAU